GCUGGGUCCUAGGUUGUAGAGUUUGUCAAGUUUUCCCCACGUGUUACAAGUUGAUUGGAACCACACAACUGCAGCUGAAAAAUACAAAAUAAGAAGUUCCCAGUCAUACGAGGUCGGAAAACCUUAUCGCCCUGCUGAUUUUUAUAGAUACCGCUCAUAGUCAGCAAUGUGACUAUCAGAAGAGCUUCAUAAGAAAAUGUACGAAAGAGGAGGCCAUUCUUAAGGACCGCAAGAUAAGGCUUCAUUGAGUGAGCUGCAC